rnacentral:rRNA from 1 species
CAGCCGCCACGGUAAUACGUAGGUGGCAAGCGUUGUCCGGAAUUAUUGGGCGUAAAGCGCGCGCAGGCGGUUUCUUAAGUCUGAUGUGAAAGCCCCCGGCUUAACCGGGGAGGGUCAUUGGAAACUGGGAGACUUAGAGUGCAGAAGAGGAGAGUGGAAUUCCACGUGUAGCGGUGAAAUGCGUAGAGAUGUGGAGGAACACCAGUGGCGAAGGCGACUCUCUGGUCUGUAACUGACGCUGAGGAGCGAAAGCGUGGGGAGCGAACAGGAUUAGAUACCCGUGUAGUCCCUGUCUCUUAUU